ACGGAAGGCAGCAGUGAGGAAUAUUGGUCAAUGGACGCAAGUCUGAACCAGCCAUGCCGCGUGCAGGAAUAAGGCCCUAUGGGUCGUAAACCGCUUUUGUGGUGGAGCAAUAAGUCGUACGUGUACGGCGAUGAGAGUACAUCACGAAUAAGCAUCGGCUAACUCCGUGCCAGCAGCCGCGGUAAUACGGAGGAUGCAAGCGUUAUCCGGAUUUAUUGGGUUUAAAGGGUGCGUAGGCUGUGGUCCAAGUCAGGGGUGAAAGCCCGGAGCUCAACUCCGGAACUGCCUUUGAUACUGGAUUGCUGGAAUACGGAUGCCGUGGGAGGAAUGAGUAGUGUAGCGGUGAAAUGCAUAGAUAUUACUCAGAACACCGAUUGCGAAGGCAUCUCACGAAUCCGUCAUUGACGCUGAGGCACGAAAGCGUGGGGAUCAAACAGGAUUAGAUACCCUGGUA
rnacentral:rRNA from 1 species